CAAAACAGUUACAAAAACGUUGCA
rnacentral:siRNA from 1 species